GUCCUGCAAACAAACGCUGAGCAAAGGCUCAUGUAAAUGAAGACUGUGUUCCUUCAAGGGAGGCCUAGUUUGCAAACAGAAUCCUGAAGACCAGAAAGACAUGCUGGAGCCAUGAUGGGUGGAGCAACACUUGGAUCUGGGCCAGGCUGAAAACAGGAAGCUGGAACUCUAUCUGGGUCUCCCAUGUGAGUGGCAGAGACGAAAGUGCUUGAACCAUCAUCUUCUGCCUCCCAGGAUUUGCAUGAGAUGGAUGUUAGAUUGGAAGUGAAGUAGCCAGGACUCCAACCAGACAAAAUAUCUCAUUCAUAGAGGAAAUAUUGAAAGCAAGAUGAUGUUUCUCCCAGCCCUUUCCCUUUCUUGAGUUUCCAUCAUUCCUAUAUGCCUGAAAUACUGGAAACCAAAUGUGUUCCUGGGGCUGUGAUGUGCCUUUCAAGACUGCGUAACAAGGGCAAACCUACCUGAUUGUUUCCUGCGGAGAGACAGCAGGAUUUCAGAGGAGGCGUCUGCUCUCAGGAAAAUGUUUCCCUUGAAAAUAUUCCAUGAAUAGCCAAGCAGUCUUCAAGCCCCAGCCAGCUCACACAGCCUGGUGGCCAAAAGCUUGACUUUGAAACCAGAUUGCUGGGUUUGAAGCCUGUUCUGCCACUUACCAUCAGCUUCACCUGGGGAGUGACAUGGAACCUCUCUGAAUCUGUUUUCUAAACCUUGAAAUGGCAAGAAUAGCACCUUAGUAAUCACAGGGUUGUGAAGAUCCCAAUUCCUCCCAACAUGCCUGGAAGGCAGCAGCUGCUGGCCCAAGGACUUUGGCCCCUGCCACCUACGUGGAGACCCAGAUGGAGUUUCUGGCUUCUGGCUUCAGUCUGGCCCAUUCCCAGCUGUAGCGGGCAUUUGAAGAGUGAACCAGCAGAUGGAUGAUCUCUCUUUCUCACUCUCUGUCAUUCUCUGUCACUCUGUCUUUCAAUA